CCCUUAGAUGUCCUGGGCCGCACGCGCGCUACACUGAUGCAUGCAACGAGUUUAUAACCUUGGCCUGAAAGGUCUGGGUAAUCUUUUGAACGUGCAUCGUGAUAGGGAUAGAUUAUUGCAAUUGUUAAUCUUGAACGAGGAAUUCCUAGUAAACGCGAGUCAUCAGCUCGCAUUGAUUACGUCCCUGCCCUUUGUACACACCGCCCGUCGCACCUACCGAUUGAGUGGUCCGGUGAGGCUUUGGGAUCUGAGCGGAAAGAGCGUUUCGCUGUUUCUGCUCGGAAAACUCAGUCGAACCUUAUCAUUUAGAGGAAGGAGAAGUCGUAACA
rnacentral:rRNA from 1 species